GAGUUUGAUCUUGGCUCAGGAUGAACGCUAGCGGCGCGCCUAAUGCAUGCAAGUCGAGCGAUGAGGCACCUUUGGGUGUACAUCAGCGGCAGACGGGUGAGUAACACGUAGGUGACCUACCCGAAGACGGGGAUAACAGGGUGGAAACAUCUGCUAAUACCCGAUGGGCUCUGAGCGGAAGCGAGGAGUAAAGGCUACGGUGCUUCGGAGGGCCUGCGGCCUAUCAGCU
rnacentral:rRNA from 1 species